rfam:Gossypium raimondii Chr01_contig_86, whole genome shotgun sequence.
UGUUAAAUUUUUUAUCUAUUUGUAUUGUUGAAAAUGGAUAUAGUUGACAGAAUAACUAGACAGUGACACAUGGCGUGCCACUUAUACCUCAUGCUGUCCAAUUUAUAACAAUAGAAAUAGAUGAAAUUUUUAAUA